rnacentral:snoRNA from 1 species
UGUUUCCGGAGGCUUGUCACAGUUACUCUUUCCACUGGCUGCGGAGAGGAGGCACAGUAAAACCAGUCCAUAAGCACCCCAGUCCGGGCCUUUUGCUUUGUCUAUGCUGGGAAUGGGACUAUGAGA